rnacentral:lncRNA from 1 species
UCCUGUCUCAUCCUGUGACUUAGAAUGCCUUAACUGUCUGGGAAAGUAGGUCUUACCCUCACUUUACCCAGCCCCCUAUUCAAGAUGGAGUUGCUGUGGUUCACAUGCCUCUUGACAGGACCCAGGUACCUCAUACAGGGGUUGUUAACCUUGGCUCCAUGGGGUUACAGGUGGGGUGGCUGACACCCCUCAAAUCAUAUGCAAAAUUCCGUGUAUACAUAUAUUCUUCUGGGGAGACAAUCAUGUUUUAGCAGAUUCUCACUGUACCGCUGAGUGUCACCCAGCAUGAAAAUGAACCAGCCUCUUGAACCUUCUUUUUUGACUUCAGGCCCUUCUGGUAGUUUCACAGCCAUAGAGAGUGGAAAGAGGAAAUGAAAGGAGCGAAGAUCCAUCGACUCCACAACUUCUAAGAAGCUUUAAAUUGUUCACUUGGUGGACACAUCUCUGAGCUUGCUCCCACGACAUCCUGAGGGAGGGGAGGCAGCCGGGCUGCCCUUCUCCUCCCAGUUCCCCAGCGUGACUAAGCGUGUAACGCACAUGACUCCCUCAUCUCCACCCCUGCUGUGGUUAACACCCCCUGCCUCUCGGGCCCUCAACACCCUGGUACAAAACUAGCAAAGAGCAAAGAAAAUUCAGGGUGCUGUGGCAGCUCCAGGACUACUUGGCAACCCAUCACCAGGAUGGGAGCCCAGCUGGGCAACGGGAGCAGAGGAGAGAUGGGAGGAAUGUCAAAAAAGCACUUGAAGGCAAAUGCCAUCGACUCAAAUUUGAAUUUGUAACCACCUAGACCAGUGGUUCGCAACUCAGGCUGUACAAUAGAAUCACUCAGGGAGCCUGGAAAAUAAUUCUGCUGCCCAGACCACUCCUUCAAAGAGUCUGGUGCCAUUGGUCUAGGUUAGGGCCCGGACAUCAAGAUGUUAAAGCUUCCCAGGUGAUUCUACUGUGCCGCCAGAGCUGAGCCCACUAGCUGGGCUGCAUUUUAAUCUCAUCUCCUGAAUACCAUGCCUUCCAGUGAUCAUGGGUUACUAAAAAAACAGCUGCCUGGAGUAGCCACUGUCUGUAAAGCCACUCCUAUAAAGGAUCAGUUUCCCAGCCCUUGAUGUGUAAAUGGACACUUGACCAUAGGGGAUUCUUAUAUUUUCAUUAACGUGGGGGAUUCUUAUAUUUUCAUUAAAGUGGGUCCCCUCAGAGUCUAGCUUGAUUUGUCGGUUUUCUGGUCACAGUCCACUGUAAUAUCUCAUUUGUCCACAUCUCUUCCAUUUUUAUAUCCAUAACCCAGGGAAGGGCCUGGUGAUACAAAGUUAAUACUGAAUGUUUAUCAAAUGAAUUAAUAAUUAUUACAGAUCUCAACAGGGGCCUCCAGGCCUUAAAAUCUAAAUCAGAUUGGCUCAAACUAUCCUUCUCCAUUCCCAAGCCUAUGGUUUGUGGCAGUCCCAAGGCCCACUGAAGACUUCACACAGUUCUCCCAAGUCAGGUUCUCACAGGGACCUCCACUUCUGUCCAUUUCACUCUGACGUUCAGCCCCUGCCUCAGUUUCUACAAAGAAAACUCACUCUCAAUAAACAUUCCUAGCCAGGUGCAGUCGCUUGCACCUGUAAUCCCAACUACUAGGGAGGUUGAGGCAGGAGGACUGCUUGAGCCCAGGAGUUUGAGACCAGCUUGGGCAACCUAGGGAUACCGUGUCCCUUGAAAAAAUAACCAUUCCUGAGUUUUGCUGGGGACUUGGGGGUCACAGGGAUGGUCCCUCUGCUGUCAGGGCCUCUCAGUUGGCCUUCACCCCAUGCCAGACCCUCCACCAACCUGUCUUCUCCAGCACCAGCCACCCAGUAAGCUCAACACCCAUCCCUUUAGAUUCUCUAAACCUCAUUUGCUUUCUUUAGCCAUAAUCCCAUAAUCUCUUCCUAGAAUGAAAUAUGGUUUCAGCUCUUAAUAGGAUGGCCAAAACCAGUUUGCUGAGGACUGAGGAGUUUCCUGAAACACUGAUCAUUCAUUGCUAAAACCAGGACAGUCCCGGGCAAACCAGGACCAUUGGUCACCUUACUGAAAGGGAAACUGAGGUCCAGGGACAACCAGAAGUGACUGAGCCUGCACGUGCACCCAGUUCUGACUUGGAAGCCCACGCUCCAUUCACCAGCAGCCCCGCCACACUGAGGACUGAGCUAGUCCCAGCUAGCUGCCCCGCCCCUUUUUAAUUUUAACUUUGUUUGAGGAAAAUCUUUCAAUGUGUCUCACACGUCCCUGCCUUCUUCCAAGUGAGCUGAAUGCAGAUCAACUUCCUCUGCAUGACUCAACAGCAGCAUUUUGAACAUCAGUGACAGUCAUUUUCCAGAGUGUCUGCACUGGGCCUCCUCCAGGGGCAGCCUGAGCUGUGGCCUUGGACACCACCUCCAGUUCUCUUCCUCCAGCUGCCUUUCCCAGCUCCAUCUGAGAAGUCGAGGCCAGGACAACCCAGCAGUUAGCCCAAUGCUUCUUACCGAAAAAACAGCCUCCUGUUGCCCUCCUCUCCUGGGUCCCCGGGCUACUCCAAGCUCUGCUCUUGCCCAGCUCCCCUUGUCAAUCAAAACAGAUUCAGCCUUCACAGGAAGCAAUUUGGCAUCUGGUAUCAAGAGGUUUAAAAUCCUCUUUCCUAAAAAUGCCACUCCUAGGACCCUCUCCUAAAGAAGUAAUAAAAGAUGCAAAGAAUGAUGAACAAAGGUGAUCUUCACAUUCAUAAGAUACAAAACGUUAAAGGAUCUAAGUGAGCAAUAAUUGGAGAAUGAUUAGAUAAAUGAUGCUGUACCCACGUACUGAAGGAUUAUACCACAAACGUGAACAGCAGAAGAAAUGUUUGUUUCAUGCAUUUUCAUCAUCCUUGGAUGGUAGCGUCUUUUUAAAAAUCUUUGCUUAAUGGAAACACAAAAGAAGGGCAUCUAGUUUCUACUUUAUUUUUAUUUCUUUGACCCCAGUAAAGAUGGACUUUUGAAGACUUGUCCAUUUUUAUUCCUUAUAAACUGCCUAUUUAUGCCCUCUUCAAUUUUCUGUUAAUUUCAUUUUUCUUAUUUAUUGGUUUUAUGUAUUCAGUUUAUUGACCACUUAUAUGUCAUAUUUAUUGCAAAAAUUUCCCUUAGAAUGUAGUUUCCUUUUUUAUUGUAUUACUGAUUUAUUUUUAUACUAUAGAUGUUUAAAAUUUUAAAUGUCCAAAGCUA